rnacentral:misc_RNA from 1 species
GUCUUCUGUUAAAUUUUCAUAUUGAAGUUGUAAGCCGCAAAGGUAAAUAAAUAAAAAAAGAGAGGACAGUUGAUUUUCAGCCUCGCGCUGUAUAUCUUUACUGCUUAUUCAUGUAUGUAUGUACAAACCAACUGACUAGCCUAACAACGUGUUCUGGUGGUGGGUGUUCUUUGGUCUAGCCACCAUUCUACUGUGCUCUGUGCUGUUCAAGAUGGCUGAGAGCGCGGAUCGCAAAUUUCGGCGUGAAAUUAAUCGGCGCGUCAAUGCUAGUUUUCAGCUUAUUGACAGUGAGGCCGAUGUCAUAAAUGACACGCGGUACGUUGACCGAGAUUCCCGCAACGCCGAAAGAGAGAGCGACUUGCCCUCCGAGGCUUGUGCGGUCGACCUCGAAGACGGCCAUCGUCGCCUUUGUGUUCAUGACAGAGAACGGCCUUCGGCACACUCCUCGAUCGUUCCAGAAACGGAUGUGCCCCAAGGACACGUUUUGAUUUCUGGCGACGCGUGCUACCCCAGCGGCUGCAGUGUUUCUGUGCCUCACGAUCACACAGACUUCGAACGGCGUGCCUUCCAUGACAGCAGCGCUGCGGCUUCGACUUCGGCGACCUCGCAGGUGAGGCAGAGGGAUUCUUUCGAAUUGGCACCGACUGGGAGUAACGAAGAGCAAGUUUGUGAACGCGGCAGUGUGGACAGCUUGCUGGCCUUUCGUGAGAGACUGCAAGCGUGGGCCUUACAAUCUCGCGCAUCGCACACUUCAGUUACAUCGCUCUUGAGAGUACUACAGUCCCACGAAUGCUUCAGCGCGCUCCCUUCAACUGCAAGGGCAUUGUUACAGACGCCCAAGAAGUGCCUGGAAGUGUUGCAGCUGGCCGGCGGGAAAUACCAUCAUUUCGGCCUCAGUGCAGGCCUACAGCGAGUGCUGCAAGAUUGUGCAGAACUACCAAGAAUUUUGAAGCUUAGCUUCAACAUUGACGGUCUGCCGGUUUCAAAAAGUUCACGGGGCCAAUUUUGGUGCAUACUGGGACGCAUAAGUAAUUUGGAGGACAAAGCACCAUUUAUAGUGGGUGUUUUUUUCGGAAGCAGCAAGCCCAACAACGCGAAUGAUUUUUUGCGACCAUUUGUUUGUGACAUAAAUGCUGCUAUCACAACAGGGAUUACCAUUGGAGAAACUGCAAUUCCUGUUAGCUUGUAUGCCCUCAUAUGUGAUGCACCAGCAAAGGCAUUUGUAUUAUAUGUCAGAAGCCACACAGGCUAUUACAGCUGCACCAAAUGUGACGUAAAAGGUGUCUACUGUGAGGGCAGGGUGUGCUUCCCAAACGUCAAUGCUCGCAAGCGAACAGAUGACAGCUUUCGCUUAAAAGUCCAGGAGGAGCAUCACACAGGCGAAAGUAUUCUUGAGGAACUUCCUUUUGACCUAGUGAAAGAUAUACCAUUAGAUUACAUGCACCUUGUGUGCUUGGGUGUCAUGAACAAGCUCUUGACACUGUGGGUACGUGGCCCAAAAGUGACCAGACUUGGAAGCAAAGUGCGUCUUGAGAUGUCGGAAAAAAAUUCUCAAAUUGCACGGUGUGUUCCAUGUGAUUUUAGCCGAAAGCCGAGGAGCAUUGCUGAACUUGAUCGGUGGAAAGCGACUGAGUUUCGCUUUUUUCUUUUAUAUGGAGGACCCGUUGUUUUGUCAUCACUGAUUCCUGCACACAUGUACAAGAACUUCUUAGCUUUACAUGUGGGGAUCUCUGUUCUUUCCACACCAGCUGCACCUGCAAGUGAGAUAGAGUAUGCCGGAAACAUGCUCAAGUUUUUUAUCCGGACAUUCAUAAGCAUUUAUGGCAAAGAGCAUGUUUCACACAAUGUGCAUGGCCUGUGUCAUUUGGCAGAUGAUGUUACACACCUUGGCCCCUUGGACUCAUGGAGUGCCUUCCCAUUUGAAAACCAUAUGUCCUCGUUAAAGAGAAUGCUGAGAAAGCCAGACCUUCCCUUGGAGCAACUUUGCAACAGGCUUGCUGAGCAGGCACACCGUCCUCUGAGGCAUAAGAAAACUGAAAGCCAUGUCGUAUUUGCUGCAGAGCAUGCUGACGGGCCACUUGUUGCUCCAUGCCGAGGCCCCGAGUUUAAAAAAGUAACAUUGCCUGGCAAUGUCAUUCUUAGAGCUGAAAAGAGAAAUGGGUGCUGUAGGCUAAGUGAUGGGUCAAUCGUCGUUAUUGACAAUUUUGCUCAUCUCCCGUGCGGUGAGCCAUGCAUAAUUGGAAGGAAGUUCCUCAAGUGUGAAGAUUUUUAUUCUCUGCCAUGCCCUUCCUCCAUACUGGGAAUUUACUCAGUGUCUCAGCCUUCUAGUCUGCGGUAUUGGCCUCUGAAGAACAUCUCACAGAAAUGCCUGAAAGUGUAUUUGAAAAGGAAAAGCAUUGUUUUCCCUCUUUUGCAUGCUACAGUGCACAUGUAAUAAACUUUCACAACUGUGUCAGAAUGUAUACAGAAUUUGAAUUUGGCUUCUCUUUCUUUUGCAAGGUCAAUACGUUGUCGUUCUCUUCCCAGAAGAGGAUGAUACAUCUGGGAUCAUCCUCAAAAGUUGGCUGAAAGGCGACGGCUGCCUGUGGCCUCGACAAACUAAAUAUGUACAUAGUUUGUUGAAGGCGAAAGCGACUCCAGGGGCUGACUGGAUAGAAGUGCCUUGCACUGUUGUCCGAGAAUUUGAUACAUAUGCCGAAGCACGGGCAAAUCUGCCAAGGGUAGAAAAUGGAUCCAACUUGGACGGCGAGGCAGAACUUGGGAAAGGCAGAAGAAAAAAAAAUAAGAGAUCCUAUGAGUCUGAAGAUGAUGAAGGGGCACCAUCACCUCCAGCUUCAAUGAUAAGACG